UGCUCUUCCUUUUUCUGGGAUAGAGCAUGAGACUCUUAAUCUCAAGGUCGUGGGUUCAAGCCCCACAAUGGGCAA